rnacentral:rRNA from 1 species
AAACUGAAGAGUUUGAUCCUGGCUCAGAUUGAACGCUGGCGGCAUGCCUUACACAUGCAAGUCGAACGGCAGCACGGGUGCUUGCACCUGGUGGCGAGUGGCGAACGGGUGAGUAAUACAUCGGAACAUGUCCUGUAGUGGGGGAUAGCCCGGCGAAAGCCGGAUUAAUACCGCAUACGAUCUACGGAUGAAAGCGGGGGACCUUCGGGCCUCGCGCUAUAGGGUUGGCCGAUGGCUGAUUAGCUAGUUGGUGGGGUAAAGGCCUACCAAGGCGACGAUCAGUAGCUGGUCUGAGAGGACGACCAGCCACACUGGGACUGAGACACGGCCCAGACUCCUACGGGAGGCAGCAGUGGGGAAUUUUGGACAAUGGGCGAAAGCCUGAUCCAGCAAUGCCGCGUGUGUGAAGAAGGCCUUCGGGUUGUAAAGCACUUUUGUCCGGAAAGAAAUCCUUGGCUCUAAUACAGUCGGGGGAUGACGGUACCGGAAGAAUAAGCACCGGCUAACUACGUGCCAGCAGCCGCGGUAAUACGUAGGGUGCGAGCGUUAAUCGGAAUUACUGGGCGUAAAGCGUGCGCAGGCGGUUUGCUAAGAC